GUCUACGGCCGUGCCAUCCUGAACAAGCCGGAUCCCAUCUGACCUCGGAAGCUCAGCAGAGUCGAGCCUGGUUAGUACUUGGAUGGGAGACCACCUACGAAGACCAGGUGCUGCAGGCA
rnacentral:rRNA from 1 species